CGAAGGGCAGGAGAGAGGUGCUGUUGGAACCAGCAGGACACGUGAGCGCUGCGGCCCAGAGCCCGGGUGGAGGGGGCACUGCCCUCUCCCUGCCCCACCACCCUCUGCUCUCCAGCCUGUGCCCGGAAGCCAGAGGGCGAGGUGGCCACGUCACGUGUGCAGGCCACAGCACCAGCCCCCAGGUCAGAGCAGGGCACAGAAGGGACCCCAGCGCCUAGUGGGUCCAGCGCCAGCAAGCCACGCCCAUUGAUUGACUCAAAUCGAUAAACAGGCAUAGAACACAUUCCAUUUUGAUGAAAACAUCACCAAACAGCAGAUUCCGAGAGCCGAGGGCCUCGCCUGGGGCCGCUCACGCCCCUCUGAGGACCUGCCCCGAUGGGAAGGGGAGAAGCCCGCAUCUCCCGUUGUCCGCCCUGGGCCUCAGGCCUCCCCACCAGGCCAGCACUGCCCUUCUGAGAGUGCUGUAGCGUAGCAACGGCCAUCCUGGGGCCGGGAUGGGGCAGUUCGGCAGUCCUCAUAGGGUGCCCAGGGCUGCCCGCUCGGGUCCACACAAGCCCACCGAGCCCAAGGAGGGGUCGACACCUGCCAGGUGGGCGGAAAGGCCCCGCCCAACUGUGGCAGUCUGCCAAGAACCAAUUCCACCAGGGUAGAGCGAGGUCAGCUCUGCCACCAACAGGCUGCGUGGACCCUAAAAGGGCCAAGGAAGUCACCUUUGUGUCUAGCAAAACAUCAUCAUUCAUCUGUCAUCCAGCACUCGUCCUGCCUGAAGAGCCCCCACCCCACCUGCCUCCUAUCAUUGACCCGUGUCUCCUGCACAGCAGUUGGACCGCCUGAGUCAGAACCAUCUGGGGUACUCACCGGUCGGGCCCACUCCCAGCCACUGUCCAGCACGGGAUCUCACCUGGGGCCCCGAGAAGGCCCGCAGUGCAGUAACGCGCUGUUGGGGACCCGGCCAUCGGGCGCCGUGCCCUCACUGCUCCCGCGGAUGCAGAGGCCUGAGCAGGGGCAUGCUUUGCCUGAGUGCUGAUCCCCCACCGAGCCCCAAAGGACAAGGCUCAGAGCGCCAGAAUUAUGGGAAUGGGGGCUGUGCCGCUUUACAGCACAGGAGUCCGGGGAGCAGGGUCCCCAAGCACGAGGCAACUUCUCCCUUUGGGGGACCAGCGAGAUCCUGGCCACUUGUCUCAAGAACAGCUCCAAAGGUGGGGAGGUGGCCCCGAUCCCCCACCCCCACGGCCAUCCUCUCCUGCCUCUCCUUUCAGGCUCCCAAGGACCCCUUCUCCCAACAGGUCUCCAAGUCUGCACUCAGGACUCCCCCUUCCCUCACCUCUACUGUGUAAGAGACCCCAGCUGGAAGCACCCAAGAGACUCCUGCACCCAGGCCACACAGCAAGAGACCCUGAUGGGGGUGCAGGGAUGGCUGAAGCACCCUCAUCCCUACUGUCGCUGCUCCUAGCACUGGGGCUGCCGAAGUCCUAAACUGCACAGCAGACAGCAUUCAUGCUAAUGGUCUUUAGGGGCCCUCCUUCACCCAGGCCCCCUCCUCCCAGCCAGGAAAAUUAUUAAUUCCCAUCCGCCAAGUUUACUUCUGGUAAAGUUUGCCAUUAACUCGGCCAGCCAGGGGCCCAGAAUAAAACGGGGAGGCAGGCAGAGGUCUGGGGCAGUCCUAGCGGGGGGUGUGGGGGGCAUCAGGUGGAGACUCCAUGAUCCUUAGGCGUCUGGAGGGCCGGGGGGAUUAGGAGGCGGUUCCCCAGCCCCCACCCACCCAUGGCAGCAGGUGGCAGGAGGGGACAAGGCUGCCUCAGCCCCCGUCUUCCUGCCAGCUUUGGGUGUGUGAUGCUAAACUCUGUGUGUAUGUGUGAGUGCGCUGUGCACGGAGGAGACGGGCUGGGCUGGGAGCCCCGGCCCUGACAGUGUCCACAAGUGGCCGACGAAGCUGACGGUCUGGACUCUAGGUCAGAAUGGCAGGAGCUGGUGGCCGAAGAUCGCAGGACCAGCAGGGCCAGAGUGUGUUUCAGCUUUUCCCGAUACUCCGCCCCACAGUCCCCAGCCCUGGUCCUUCCUGCACUGUCUUUCCCUCUUUUGUAGGAAGCCAGGCCCCUCCACCUUCAAGGCUGGAUUCCAGUCUCCCGCAGGCGUUCCCCCCUCUCAAGAGUCCGCUCUGGGCUGUGGCUGGGCCUGGAAUGUUGCCGUCACGAUCCUGGCUUCUCCAAGUGGCCUGAGGGCUGUCUGUGGGUUGAGGAGGGGGAGAGGGGUGCAGAAGGAAACCAGGGAGACACACCCGCAGAGACUGUCUGGGCCCUCAGGCCUCGGCAGUGCACGCGGUGCCCUGCUUAAGCACACAGCGCUGGGACUGGACAGGUGGGCCCUCUCGAGGCUGCAGAAACAGACAUCUGAUACACACACACACAGACACACACACACAGACACACACACACACACACACACACACACACAGCUACACGGCCAGAAGGGGGACAGCGGUGUGGCAGGGCUCCCGACGCGAGGGAGACCCCAGAGGCAACAGGCAGGCUGUUUCUGGACUCCCUGCCCGUUUGCCCGCGGGAUGGAGUUGGGUGGUGGGGGAAGCCACUAUGCCCAAGGUCCCAGGGUCUCAGGAGACAGUCCUGCCCAGCAGGCUUCCCCAGCCCACUGUGCAGCAGCCAGGGACAGAAGGGCAAGGCCUCGGAGUGACUUUUCACCGCUUUUUAAAAGGCAGCCCAGAAUGUCACCUCCUGCCAGCCUAAGGCCUUGGCCGCAACUCGUUUCCUCUGCGUUUCCUGCUACCCCAGGUCCAGUUUCAUCUCCGCCACUCCCUGUCCCUCCCAGUGGAGGGGCUGCAGCCCUAACCCCUUCAAUGACACCCUCUCCACCCCCUCUCAAACCCCAGAAGUACUUAGAAACAUAAAUUAAAAUAAAUCGCAUUUUUAAAUCGCAAAA